UACGAAGGGGGCUAGCGUUGCUCGGAAUUACUGGGCGUAAAGGGAGCGUAGGCGGGUCGUCAAGUUGGGGGUGAAAGCCCAGGGCUCAACCUUGGAACUGCCUUCAAAACUGACGAUCUAGAGUAUGGAAGAGGUAAGUGGAACUCCGAGUGUAGAGGUGAAAUUCGUAGAUAUUCGGAAGAACACCAGUGGCGAAGGCGACUUACUGGUCCAUGACUGACGCUGAGGCUCGAAAGCGUGGGGAGCAAACGGG
rnacentral:rRNA from 1 species